GAUGAACGCUAGCGGGAGGCCUAAUACAUGCAAGUCGAGCGGUAGAGUCCUUCGGGGCUUGAGAGCGGCGCACGGGUGAGUAACGCGUACAUGACCUACCUAUAAGACAGGGAUAGCCCUGGGAAACUGGGAUUAAUACCUGAUGUGAUAAUAUGUAUAGAGAUGUAUUAUUAAAGUUGAGGCGCUUAGAGAUGGGUGUGCGUCUGAUUAGCUAGUUGGUAGGUAACGGCCUACCAAGGCGACGAUCAGUAGGGGGCGUGAGAGCGUGGCCCCCCACACGGGUACUGAGACACGGACCAGACUCCUACGGGAGGCAGCAGUAAGGAAUAUUGGUCAAUGGAGGCAACUCUGAACCAGCCAUGCCGCGUGCAGGAUGACGGCCCUAUGGGUUGUAAACUGCUUUUGUACCAGAGAAAACCUACUCACGUGUGAGUAGCUGAUAGUAUGGUAAGAAUAAGCAUCGGCUAACUUCGUGCCAGCAGCCGCGGU
rnacentral:rRNA from 1 species